GCGACGCCGCGUGAGGGAUGGAGGCCUUCGGGUUGUAAACCUCUUUCGCCAGUGAAGCAGGCCUGUCCCUUUUGUGGGUGGGUUGACGGUAGCUGGAUAAGAAGCGCCGGCUAACUACGUGCCAGCAGCCGCGGUAAUACGUAGGGCGCGAGCGUUGUCCGGAAUUAUUGGGCGUAAAGAGCUCGUAGGCGGCUGGUCGCGUCUGUCGUGAAAUCCUCUGGCUUAACUGGGGGCUUGCGGUGGGUACGGGCCGGCUUGAGUGCGGUAGGGGAGACUGGAACUCCUGGUGUAGCGGUGGAAUGCGCAGAUAUCAGGAAGAACACCGGUGGCGAAGGCGGGUCUCUGGGCCGUUACUGACGCUGAGGAGCGAAAGCGUGGGGAGCGAACAGGAUUAGAUACCCUGGUAGUCCACGCCGUAAACGUUGGGCACUAGGUGUGGGGGGGCCUUUUCCGGGUCUU
rnacentral:rRNA from 1 species